ACCAAAUGCGGUUUCCUCUCUUUGUGUGUGAGCCUGUGUGUGCAUGCGUGCAAGUGUGUAUGCGUGUUAGUCACCUGCCCUUCGCUGGCUGCAGGGUUCAUGUCCACUUGAGGGGCCCAGGACUCUCAAGACCUGCCCAACGUGCUGGGACCCAGCCAGGUACAAUUAUCCCAUGGUCCUUCAGGGAGCACCCUCAUUUCCAGACUUUCUGACCCCAUAAAGGUUUGGGAAUCACUGAGAGUCACUGCCCGAAAAGGAUGCUACAAGAGGGAGUGUUCUGCUAAAAUGAGGAAGUCGAUCACAAAAGUGGCAGAUGUGGAUUCACAAAGCAGAUAAUCCCGUGGUGGAGAAAGUGAAGGGGUCCCUAAAAUUAUGUGUAGAGAUGCCAGGACGGUAACCGUGGGCCAGACAUAGCGCUCCACCUCUUCCUGCCAUCGAGGCCACCCCUUAUUGUGGCUGGCUGGCACUGUGGGUUCCCUGACAACUGAUUGGCUCUCGAUCAAGUCCCAUGUCCUUUCCUGAGCCAUCCCACCACCACAGCUCCCAGGCCAGCCUCCUCUCAUGCCUGUCACAGGGCAAUAGACACUUCCAGAGCCCUCCUUGUCCCACGGGAACCGAGGUAGUCCCUGGUGCUGCCAUCUGUUGCCUUGAUUUGAACACCCAUCCUGGUUGCCUCAUCUUUCAAACAGGAUCAUCACAGCAUCCAUGAUGUCACCAGGUCAUUGAUAGGAUUAAACGAGUAGAUGUUUUUGAAGCGAUGAGAAUGGCAUCUGGCAUGUAGUAAUGUGAUACUGGUAUUUGUUAAAUGAAAUACAUUAUGUGUGAUGCCUGGGUGGCUCAAUGGUUGAACAUCUGCCUUUGGCUCCGGGCAUCAUUCCAGGGUCCUGGGGUCGAAUCCUGCAUCGGGGUCCUUGCAGGCAGCUUCUCCCUC